UACGUAGGCAGCAAGCGUUGUUCGGAGUUACUGGGCGUAAAGGGUGCGUAGGCGGCUUUUUAAGUUUGGUGUGAAAUCUCCCGGCUCAACUGGGAGGGUGCGCCGAAUACUGAGAGGCUAGAGUGCGGGAGAGGAAAGUGGAAUUCCUGGUGUAGCGGUGAAAUGCGCAGAUAUCGGGAAGAACACCCGUGGCGAAGGCGGCUCUCUGGGACGGUACUGACGCUGAGACGCGAAAGCGUGGGGAGCGAACAGG
rnacentral:rRNA from 1 species